rnacentral:misc_RNA from 1 species
UUCAGCGAAUUCUCAUAUGGAUUAUCAUAAGCAGGUGGGACAGAUGAUCCUAUAUUAUUAAAAGGUGGGGUACUGUAAAUGGAAGAAUAUGAUGGAUUGGCACUAGUGUCAGGAUUUGGUGCAAUUGAGGAAGUAGGAGGCGGAGGAGAAGCGUAACUGGGAGCCGUCUGAUUAUGAUCGUACGGUGGGUAAUAAGGUUGCUGAGUGGUUGAAGGCUGGUAGGGCCCAUGGGAAUCGUAAGGAGGGAAAGAAGGUUGCGCAGGUUGUGGUGGAGGGUUGAAGGAGGAUUGCAAACUAUUAGGGUUCAGAGCUGCUGUCGUAGACGGAGGAGUAGGAGGCGGUGGGGUGUAUGACGGAGCGGUGGCAGGAAGCACGUCAUCGGAAUCAGGAUUCUGAUGAUAGGGAGGGUAAUUGGGAGGAUAAACAGGGUAAUCGGAGGAGGCGUAAGUGGUGGUGAACGGCGG